rnacentral:rRNA from 1 species
CCUACGGGAGGCAGCAGUGGGGAAUAUUGCACAAUGGGGGAAACCCUGAUGCAGCGACGCCGCGUGAGUGAUGAAGUAAUUCGUUAUGUAAAGCUCUAUCAGCAGGGAAGAAAAUGACGGUAUCUGAGUAAGAAGCCCCGGCUAACUACGUGCCAGCAGCCGCGGUAAUACGUAGGGGGCAAGCGUUAACCGGAUUUACUGGGUGUAAAGGGAGCGUAGACGGCAGUGUAAGUCUGGAGUGAAAGGCGGGGGCUCAACCCCCAGACUGCUCUGGAAACUGUACGGCUGGAGUGCAGGAGAGGUAAGUGGAAUUCGUAGUGUAGCGGUGAAAUGCGUAGAUAUUAGGAAGAACACCAGUGGCGAAGGCAGCUUACUGGACUGUAACUGACGUUGAGGCUCGAAAGCGUGGGGAGCGAACAGGAUUAGAUACCCUAGUAGUC